rnacentral:misc_RNA from 1 species
CCUAAGAGAUACGUGUUAUGUGCAGUGCUCACACAGAUUGUCUGAUGAAGAACGAGCAAAAGCGCGUCUGCGAAGCUGACAAAAGUCCCCUUCGUCUAGAGGCCUAGGACACCGCCCUUUCACGGCGGUAACAGGGGUUCGAAUCCCCUAGGGGACGCCAAUGCGCGGUAUGAGUGAAAGGCGUACCACUUAUCUGACGAGAGUCAGAGAAUAACUAAGCUAAUUCAAACGAGUCAUCUUACUUAUUAUGCUCUUUAACAAUCUGGAACAAGCUGAAAAAUUGAAAACAAAUCAAUAUAUCAACGAGGUAUAUUGGUGAGUCUCUCAAAAUCUCAAACCUUAAAGUUUGUCACGCAAAGUUUAUCUUUGAAAGAGACACUUUCGGGUUGUGA